GAAGCUGCUGUGCUGGAAUUCCUUCAGGCUACCUCCUGGAAGUCAAUGAGGAAAGCUGCAGUGAUCAAAAUGGAAAGAAUACCAGAAAAAACAACACUGGAUUAAAACAAUUGUGCAAAGACAGAUCUGCUUCACAAUCAUUGGCUUUGGGAACAGCUAGUUGCCUAAAGGGCUUUUUUGGAGGGCAGAUCCUGGGAUCAGGGGAGUCUCCUUCCAAGUGGCUGAAGAAUUGGACAGAAAUCAGGGACAUGUGUGGUGAAAGGAGGACUGAAGAGGGAGGGAAGCCUUUUGUAUGUGUGUUAUUCUUUUCAUAGGGAGGAAAAAUAAAAUAUGAUACUAAAGGAUAAGAUGCUUGAGAAGAAAAACCAAAGCAUGGGAAUGGACAAGCUCUAGUGCAGAACAGGAAGGAGGGAGCUUAGCAAGAAGAUACGAAAGAGAACAAGACUACUGAAAGGGCAUCUGUGUAGACAAGAGGUAGAUUGCAUCUCAUUGGAUGAGAAAAUACAGAAAUCACCAAUUUGAACAAACUGGUACAUCAUGAAUGUAGCUCGAAAUUUGUGGAAAUUAGACUUCUCUGUUGUUUUUAUCUUCCACUGCUAAGAAAUUUGUGGUAUACCAGCUGAACCUUAACCAAGAGAUCUGAUUUAAAACCCAAAAUGGCUAUAAUGAAGGGAGGAGAGGGAAUAGUGGGUGUACAUGUGUGGUUCCUUAAGUGUGUAGUUGACUGUUCCCCCUGGUUGUGUCUUGUGGUUUUAUUACAGAGAGCUAAAGUAUGAUCCUGUAGAGGAGGUAGAUCAAGAAGAGUUUAAGGCUUUUCCAGAUAGCUUAACUCUUUCUUAAAGGUGGCCACUUACUGUGUAGAAAGCUUCAGAGCUUCCAUUCCACGGGUGAAAGGAGAAUGUUAAUAACCAGACUACUAAGUUUCAGAUUUAACAGCAGUUUUGCCUCUGUUAGUUCCUUUAAACUUUGGCCAUUAAGUCAUCUGCUGUGGAUGUUACUGGGAGAUCCAAGCUCAAACAGAAAUACCUGGGUUGUGAAGCUGUGCUGGCCAGUGUACCAAAGCUACAACAGAGAAACAAACUCUCUCUCUUUCUUUUUUUUAUUUUUUUCUUCUGAGUUCAUUGCAGUUUUUUCUCUCUUGAGGUGUGUGUGGGUCACCUAAUAAGAAGUACUCUAAAAGCUGCUGGUGUUAUGAAGAUGGUGUUUAUAGACUGUCACUAUGAUAGCAGCAGCCAGCUGGGUCAAGUGUCACAGACCAGACCACUCUUGUCUCCUGAAGGUGUUUUCCUUUGUAGGAAUCAUUAGUGCAACUUUACACUCAUUGAGUAACUCAAACAGUGAAAACUUGGACUGGUUUUGUAGCCACUUACAUUAACAAUGUCUUUCAGCUACGUCCUUCUUAGACUUUAGGGAGUGUGACAAAUCCUUGGUAGGUCACCACAGAUUGCUUUCUACAAUUGUUUGGCAGCUCUUGAAAAUCUGAGUCAUGUCCUUUCCUGUUUCCAAGUUUCACUGGUAAAUUUCCCCUUAGUACUUGACAUCUCGC